rnacentral:rRNA from 1 species
GCUUAGCCCUAAACACAGAUAAUAAAAGUACACUAUUAUCCGCCAGAGAACUACAAGCGAAAAGCUUAAAACUCCAAGGACUUGGCGGUGCUUCAAACCAACCUAGAGGAGCCUGUCCUAUAAUCGAUAAUCCACGCUAUACCUUACCCCCCCUCCAGUCUAUAUACCGCCGUCGCCUACCUUAUGAAAGAACUCAAAGUAGGCAAAAUAGUUAACAACUAACACGUCAGGUCAAGGUGUAACACAUGGGGUGGCAGAGAUGGGCUCACAAACAGUGCCCUGAAACACGUACUUGAAGGUGGAUUUAGAAGUAAGAUAAACAAGAAAGACUAUCUUAAACCUGCUCUGAAGCGCGC